AUUGAACGCUGGCGGCAUGCUUUACACAUGCAAGUCGAACGGCAGCGCGGGCUUCGGCCUGGCGGCGAGUGGCGAACGGGUGAGUAAUACAUCGGAACGUGCCCAGUAGUGGGGGAUAGCUCGGCGAAAGCCGGAUUAAUACCGCAUACGACCUGAGGGUGAAAGCGGGGGAUCUUCGGACCUCGCGCUAUUGGAGCGGCCGAUGGCAGAUUAGCUAGUUGGUGGGGUAAAGGCCUACCAAGGCGACGAUCUGUAGCUGGUCUGAGAGGACGACCAGCCACACUGGGACUGAGACACGGCCCAGACUCCUACGGGAGGCAGCAGUGGGGAAUUUUGGACAAUGGGCGAAAGCCUGAUCCAGCAAUGCCGCGUGUGUGGUGAAGGCCUUCGGGCUGUAAAGCACUUUUGGCGGGAACGAAAAGGACUGUGCCAAUACCACGGUUCGAUGACGGUACCCACAGAAUAAGCACCGGCUAACUACGUG
rnacentral:rRNA from 1 species